GUACUCGCUUUGGCAGCACAUAUACUAAGAUUGGAAUGAUACAGAGAUUAGUUUGCCCCCUGAACAAGGAUGACAUGCAAAUUCGUGAAGAGUUCCAUAUUUUU
ensembl:snRNA U6 U6 spliceosomal RNA